UCCAAGAUUCCCCUUUUCAUUUAUUGUUGUUCAUAAUUAGAUGUAAUUAAUUAAUUAAGGUCUUGAACUACAUAAUGAAGAUGGUGAAUGAUUAUUCUAUUCAAUCCUAUCACAAUCAACGAAACUCGAGUCUUUUAAAUCCAAAUUUUAUUUCAAUUAAAAGAAACUAUGUUUAUUGUGGUUUUUAUGUUACUUAAGUAGCUCCAUGUGUUCAUCCUGUCCUAAAUUUUCAUCUUCAUGGUAGGCAGCUAUAUGAGAGAGAUUUAGCCUCUCCUUGGAAGUGCAGUCCAUACAGAUCGCAGAAGGUGAACAGCAUGAUAAGAACCACUCAAGAACUUGAUUUACCAGCACGGUGUGGAGACCCAUUAGCUUCCCGGUCAUUAUAUUACGAACGCUGUCAUCGAAGAAUACCUCCAGAAAGGAAUAGAGUAUCAGUAGUGUUGUUAUAUGUGCAUAUGGCAUGGAAGAUGAUCGGUAAGGAAUAUUUUAGAAUUGUUAAAGAAACAAGUAUCAUUAUAUUCCUGAU